AGUGAACGCUGGCGGUAGGCCUAACACAUGCAAGUCGAACGGCAGCACAGUAAGAGCUUGCUCUUACGGGUGGCGAGUGGCGGACGGGUGAGGAAUAUAUCGGAAUCUACUUUUUCGUGGGGGAUAACGUAGGGAAAAUUACGCUAAUACCGCAUACGACCUACGGGUGAAGGCAGGGGAUCGUCGGACCUUGCGCGAUUGAAUGAGCCGAUGUCGGAUUAGCUAGUUGGCGGGGUUAAGGCCCACCAAGGCGACGAUCGGUAGCUGGUCUGAGAGGCUGAUCAGCCACACUGGAGCUGAGACACGGUCCAGACUCCUGCGGGAGGCAGCAGUGUGGAAUAUUAGACAAUGGGCGCAAGCCUGAUCCAACCAUACCGCGUGGGUGAAGAAGGCCUUCGGGUUGUAAAGCCCUUUUGGUGGGAAAGAAAAGCAGCAGGUUAAUACCCCGCUGUUCUGACGGUACCCAAAGAAUAAGCACCGGCUAACUUCGUG
rnacentral:rRNA from 1 species